UACGGGGGGGGCAAGCGUUGUUUGGAAUUACUGGGCGUAAAGGGCUCGUAGGCGGCCAACUAAGUCAGACGUGAAAUCCCUCGGCUUAACCGGGGAACUGCGUCUGAUACUGGAUGGCUUGAAUCCGGGAGAGGGAUGCGGAAUUCCAGGUGUAGCGGUGAAAUGCGUAGAUAUCUGGAGGAACACCGGUGGCGAAGGCGGCAUCCUGGACCGGCAUUAACGCUGAGGAGCGAAAGCCAGGGGAGCAAACGGG
rnacentral:rRNA from 1 species